rfam:Felis catus isolate Cinnamon breed Abyssinian chromosome E1, whole genome shotgun sequence.
GCCUGGGUGGCUCAGUGGUUAAGUGUCUGACUUCGGCUCAGGUCAUGAUCUCGUGGUCCGUGAGUUCAAGCCCCACAUCGGGCU